AUUGAACGCUGGCGGCAGGCCUAACACAUGCAAGUCGAGCGGAUGAGGGGAGCUUGCUCCUCGAUUCAGCGGCGGACGGGUGAGUAAUGCCUAGGAAUCUGCCUAGUAGUGGGGGACAACGUUUCGAAAGGAACGCUAAUACCGCAUACGUCCUACGGGAGAAAGUGGGGGAUCUUCGGACCUCACGCUAUUAGAUGAGCCUAGGUCGGAUUAGCUAGUUGGUAGGGUAAAGGCCUACCAAGGCGACGAGCCGUAACUGGUCUGAGAGGAUGAUCAGUCACGCUGGAACUGAGACACGGUCCAGACUCCUACGGGAGGCAGCAGUGGGGAAUAUUGGACAAUGGGCGAAAGCCUGAUCCAGCCAUGCCGCGUGUGUGAAGAAGGCCUUCGGGUCGUAAAGCACUUUAAGUUGGGAGGAAGGGCUCAUAGCGAAUACCUGUGAGUUUUGACGUUACCAACAGAAUAAGCACCGGCUAACUUCGUGCCAGCAGCCGCGGUAA
rnacentral:rRNA from 1 species